GAUGAACGCUGGCGGCGUGCCUAAUACAUGCAAGUCGAGCGAACGGACGAGAAGCUUGCUUCUCUGAUGUUAGCGGCGGACGGGUGAGUAACACGUGGAUAACCUACCUAUAAGACUGGGAUAACUUCGGGAAACCGUAGCUAAUACCGGAUAAUAUUUUGAACCGCAUGGUUCAAAAGUGAAAGACGGUCUUGCUGUCACUUAUAGAUGGAUCCGCGCUGCAUUAGCUAGUUGGUAAGGUAGCGGCUUACCAAGGCAACGAUGCAUAGCCGACCUGAGAGGGUGAUCGGCCACACUGGAACUGAGACACGGUCCAGACUCCUACGGGAGGCAGCAGUAGGGAAUCUUCCGCAAUGGGCGAAAGCCUGACGGAGCAACGCCGCGUGAGUGAUGAAGGUCUUCGGAUCGUAAAACUCUGUUAUUAGGGAAGAACAUAUGUGUAAGUAACUGUACACAUCUUGACGGUACCUAAUCAGAAAGCCACGGCUAACUACGUG
rnacentral:rRNA from 1 species